rnacentral:tRNA from 1 species
GCUCUCGUGGCUCAGCAGGUAGAGCGUCGCCUUGGUAAGGCGGAGGUCGUCGGUUCGAGUCCGAUCGAGAGCU